UUGAACGCUGGCGGCAUGCCUUACACAUGCAAGUCGAACGGUAGAGGGGCAACCCUUGAGAGUGGCGAACGGGUGAGUAAUAUAUCGGAGCGUGCCCAGUCGUGGGGGAUAACGCAGCGAAAGCUGCGCUAAUACCGCAUACGAUCUAUGGAUGAAAGCGGGGGAUCGCAAGACCUCGCGCGAUUGGAGCGGCCGAUAUCAGAUUAGGUAGUUGGUGGGGUAAAGCCCACCAAGCCGACGAUCUGUAGCUG
rnacentral:rRNA from 1 species